AACGAACGCUGGCGGCAGGCCUAACACAUGCAAGUCGAACGCUCGUAGCAAUACGGGAGUGGCAGACGGGUGCGUAACGCGUGGGAACAUACCCUUUGGUUCGGAAUAACUCAGGGAAACUUGAGCUAAUACCGGAUACGCCCGAGAGGGGAAAGAUUUAUUGCCGAAGGAUUGGCCCGCGUCUGAUUAGCUUGUUGGUAGGGUAACGGCCUACCAAGGCGACGAUCAGUAGCUGGUCUGAGAGGAUGAUCAGCCACACUGGGACUGAGACACGGCCCAGACUCCUACGGGAGGCAGCAGUGGGGAAUAUUGGACAAUGGGCGCAAGCCUGAUCCAGCCAUGCCGCGUGAGUGAUGACGGCCCUAGGGUUGUAAAGCUCUUUUACCCGGGAAGAUAAUGACGGUACCGGGAGAAUAAGCCCCGGCUAACUUCGUG
rnacentral:rRNA from 2 species